UGAGGAAUAUUGGUCAAUGGGCGAGAGCCUGAACCAGCCAAGUAGCGUGAAGGAUGACUGCCCUAUGGGUUAUAAACUUCUUUUAUAAAGGAAUAAAGUCGGGUAUGGAUACCCGUUUGCAUGUACUUUAUGAAUAAGGAUCGGCUAACUCCGUGCC
rnacentral:rRNA from 1 species